CAUGGCUCAGAACGAACGCUGGCGGCAGGCCUAACACAUGCAAGUCGAGCGACGCCCUUCGGGGUGAGACGGCGGACGGGUUAGUAACGCGUGGGAACGUACCCUUUGGUAGGGAAUAGCCACUGGAAACGGUGAGUAAUACCCUAUGAGCCCUUCGGGGGGAAAAGAUUUAUCGCCAAAGGAUCGGCCCGCGUUAGAUUAGGUAGUUGGUGGGGUAAUGGCCUACCAAGCCUACGAUCUAUAGCUGGUUUUAGAGGAUGAUCAGCAACACUGGGACUGAGACACGGCCCAGACUCCUACGGGAGGCAGCAGUGGGGAAUCUUGGACAAUGGGGGCAACCCUGAUCCAAGCCAUGCCGCGUGAGUGAAGAAGGCCUUAGGGUCGUAAAGCUCUUUCGCCUGUGAAGAUAAUGACGGUAGCAGGUAAAGAAACCCCGGCUAACUCCGUGCCAGCAGCUGC
rnacentral:rRNA from 1 species